ACACAAAAAUGCACAUACUGUGAGCUCGAUGAGUAGGGCGGGACACGUGGUAUCCUGUCUGAAUAUGGGGGGACCAUCCUCCAAGGCUAAAUACUCCUGACUGACCGAUAGUGAACCAGUACCGUGAGGGAAAGGCGAAAAGAACCCCGGCGAGGGGAGUGAAAAAGAACCUGAAACCGUGUACGUACAAGCAGUGGGAGCACAGAGCAAUCUGUGUGACUGCGUACCUUUUGUAUAAUGGGUCAGCGACUUAUAUUCUGUAGCAAGGUUAACCGAAUAGGGGAGCCGAAGGGAAACCGAGUCUUAACUGGGCGUUAAGUUGCAGGGUAUAGACCCGAAACCCGGUGAUCUAGCCAUGGGCAGGUUGAAGGUUGGGUAACACUAACUGGAGGACCGAACCGACUAAUGUUGAAAAAUUAGCGGAUGACUUGUGGCUGGGGGUGAAAGGCCAAUCAAACCGGGAGAUAGCUGGUUCUCCCCGAAAGCUAUUUAGGUAGCGCCUCGUGAAUUCAUCUCCGGGGGUAGAGCACUGUUUCGGCAAGGGGGUCAUCCCGACUUACCAACCCGAUGCAAACUGCGAAUACCGGAGAAUGUUAUCACGGGAGACACACGGCGGGUGCUAACGUCCGUCGUGAAGAGGGAAACAACCCAGACCGCCAGCUAAGGUCCCAAAGUCAUGGUUAAGUGGGAAACGAUGUGGGAAGGCCCAGACAGCCAGGAUGUUGGCUUAGAAGCAGCCAUCAUUUAAAGAAAGCGUAAUAGCUCACUGGUCGAGUCGGCCUGCGCGGAAGAUGUAACGGGGCUAAACCAUGCACCGAAGCUGCGGCAGCGACGCUGAUGCGUUGUUGGGUAGGGGAGCGUUCUGUAAGCCUGUGAAGGUGUGCUGUGAGGCAUGCUGGAGGUAUCAGAAGUGCGAAUGCUGACAUAAGUAACGAUAAAGCGGGUGAAAAGCCCGCUCGCCGGAAGACCAAGGGUUCCUGUCCAACGUUAAUCGGGGCAGGGUGAGUCGACCCCUAAGGCGAGGCCGAAAGGCGUAGUCGAUGGGAAACAGGUUAAUAUUCCUGUACUUGGUGUUACUGCGAAGGGGGGACGGAGAAGGCUAUGUUGGCCGGGCGACGGUUGUCCCGGUUUAAGCGUGUAGGCUGGUUUUCCAGGCAAAUCCGGAAAAUCAAGGCUGAGGCGUGAUGACGAGGCACUACGGUGCUGAAGCAACAAAUGCCCUGCUUCCAGGAAAAGCCUCUAAGCAUCAGGUAACAUCAAAUCGUACCCCAAACCGACACAGGUGGUCAGGUAGAGAAUACCAAGGCGCUUGAGAGAACUCGGGUGAAGGAACUAGGCAAAAUGGUGCCGUAACUUCGGGAGAAGGCACGCUGAUAUGUAGGUGAAGUCCCUCGCGGAUGGAGCUGAAAUCAGUCGAAGAUACCAGCUGGCUGCAACUGUUUAUUAAAAACACAGCACUGUGCAAACACGAAAGUGGACGUAUACGGUGUGACGCCUGCCCGGUGCCGGAAGGUUAAUUGAUGGGGUCAGCGCAAGCGAAGCUCUUGAUCGAAGCCCCGGUAAACGGCGGCCGUAACUAUAACGGUCCUAAGGUAGCGAAAUUCCUUGUCGGGUAAGUUCCGACCUGCACGAAUGGCGUAAUGAUGGCCAGGCUGUCUCCACCCGAGACUCAGUGAAAUUGAACUCGCUGUGAAGAUGCAGUGUACCCGCGGCAAGACGGAAAGACCCCGUGAACCUUUACUAUAGCUUGACACUGAACAUUGAGCCUUGAUGUGUAGGAUAGGU
rnacentral:rRNA from 1 species